UACGAAGGGGGCUAGCGUUGCUCGGAAUCACUGGGCGUAAAGCGCACGUAGGCGGAUUGUUAAGUCAGGGGUGAAAUCCUGGAGCUCAACUCCAGAACUGCCUUUGAUACUGGCGAUCUCGAGUCCGGGAGAGGUGAGUGGAACUGCGAGUGUAGAGGUGAAAUUCGUAGAUAUUCGCAAAGAACACCAGUGGCGAAGGCGGCUCACUGGCCCGGUACUGACGGCUGAGGUGCGAAAGCGUGGGGAGCGAAC
rnacentral:rRNA from 1 species